UCAGCUUGUGGUCACAGUCUAAUUUUGAUGACUCCAGCGCUCAACCAUGUUUCAGACUCGAGUAGUCCACGAUAUCGUCUCUAAGAGCUUAAACUGUGAGACAAAGUGGUUCAAGAGUCUCUUAUAUAAAGGCUUAGCACAUUGCUGGCAAAGUGUACAGUUGACCUGAAAGAGAAUACUCUCCCAUGGCAUGCUUAAACCUACUCAAGAAAGAGCAACAACAGGGCCUCUACAAUCCAAGAAUCUCAUUCUCCAAUGAUUUUGCUGAUCCUCAACCAGUGAUGAAGCAGGAAAACAGCUACAGAGAAGCCCCCAUCUCGUCCGAUUUCGAGUUUUCUAUCUCUAAUUACCCCAUGGUUUCCGCAGAUGAGCUUAUCUCCAACGGCAAAUUGUUGCCUUUGAAGGAAAAUUGCAGUAAAACUAUCACCCUUAGAGAUGAACUCCUUGUUGAUGAUGAUGACUAGGAGAAUGUAUCACCAAGAUUAGCUAAAGGUACAAGUCUUUGGAAGGAGCUAAAAAGGUCUCACAUUGUACCUAAGAAAGCUGUUAAAAGUGGAGUUAUGGAAAGAACUGAUGAUCUAUUCCAUAAGCAGAUUUAUGCCAACUUGAAAGGAUCCAACUGGCGAAGAUGAUUUGCUGGAUUUAGGGAGA